rnacentral:rRNA from 1 species
UACGUAGGGGGCUAGCGUUGUCCGGAAUCAUUGGGCGUAAAGAGCGUGUAGGCGGCCCGGUAAGUCCGCUGUGAAAGUCGGGGGCUCAACCCUCGAAUGCCGGUGGAUACUGUCGGGCUAGAGUGCGGAAGAGGCGAGUGGAAUUCUCGGUGUAGCGGUGAAAUGCGUAGAUAUCGAGAGGAACACCUGCGGCGAAGGCGGGUUGCUGGGCUGACACUGACGCUGAAGCGCGAAAGCUAGGGGAGCGAACGGG